GUGGCCGGGUGUUGUAGUUUGCUGAUUAAAUAUCACGUGGUACAUUGGUAAUGCCCAGUGGAGCGUUUGAACCCUGGAUGUGUGAAGAAUCCUGUUGGAGCCUUUGUGCUUGGGCUGUGUACCAUAACUUCCUCCAGUGGAACAAUACGGGAUAGGAAGACAGGAAGAGGCUCUUCUCACACUUAGCCAUUUAUUAACUUUGUGCGGUUCUCGCUUAAGUGGAGAAUCCGUCCGUCCAAUAGAGAAGAAAGAGCCCAAUUCACCAUCGUUUUUUUUUAUUCACAUUUUUCAUCUCUUCUCUAAAUCGCAUUCUCAUUGGAGGGUCGCCUUUUUAUUCGUCCGUUUUUUGGGGGGUCGUUGGGGACAUUUCUCCAGCACGUUAUUGGUGUGGGACAAUGGGCAGGACACACCCUAAUUCAGGAAUUUCUCUCUGUUUUUUCUUCUUUCUACUUCCUCUCUAUGCCCGUGGAUAUGGUGGUCCCAUAAGAGGAACCAGGUUAAGACAUUGCUCCAGAUUCUAGCACUUCCUGGGACAGACGUCAACGUGAAAGGCUUGGGAGGUGAAGAUCAAAUCAUGUGUCCUCCGAAACAUGACCCACCAAACUGCGCUUCUUAACACUCGCCCGCUUAACCCGGAAGCCAGCCGCACCAAUAUGUCGGAGGAAACACCAUUCGCCUGAUGACCGCGGGUCAGCCUGCAGGCCCCCGGCCCGCCACAAGGAGUCGCUAAACCACGAUGAGCCAAGACAAGCCCUCCCGGCCAAACCCUCCCCUAACCUACGAGACUCCCAAUCACGGCCGGUUGUGAUACAGCCCGGGACCAAACCAGGGUCUGUAGUGAUGCCUCUAGCACUGAGAUGCAGUGACCGCUGCGUCAGUCGGGAGCCCCAUAAUGCAGUUUUAAAAGAAUGAUAAUUUGUUCUUUGUGUGUGUGUGUGUGUGUGUGUGUGUGUGUGUGUGUGUGUGUGUGUGUGUGUGUGUGUGUGUGUGUGUCUGUGUGUGUGUGUGUGUGUGCAUGUGUGCCUGCAUGUGUAUUUCUACGUGUGUGUUACUCCUCAGACCAUGCAGGCUGGACGCCCCUGCAGAGGCGUGUAACCAUGGCACCAGUGCAUGUGUGGAGGCCCUGCUGUGCCACCGGCCCGUCCCUCACCUGAACGGCCAGGUGGGCGGAGUCAGUCUGCUACACAAUGCUCUGUGGACACACAGACAUCGACAAGAUGCUCCAGCAUGCAGGAUCUGCUGCAGCAGAAAGACGGUCAUGGAUGGACUGCACUGGAGCUGGUUUCAAAUGCCAUGCUGAGGGAGGAGCUUUGACGCAGCGCCCUGACUGGAGAAGUGGCCCUGGAGGCAUUGAGGUCAGGGACCUGUCCUUCCUGGAGGCCUGCUCCUGCCUGCUGACCCAUGUGCUCUUCAACCCCCCUACCUCCCCCUCUUCCUCUUGAACGUGCCCUGGGAUGAAUCCCGGCCCACAUGUAUAUAACUGAUUGUGUCAUUCAUAGUCUGUUUCAGGGGCCAUUUUUUUUUCGAUUAUAUUUUUAUUAACAUUUAUCAUGUGACAUCCCACUGCUAAUCUUCUUACUCUUUUUAGGAAUUGUUUACAUUUGUUCAUGUUAUUUUGUGUUAUGUCAGCAGUGAUUUUAUAGAUUAUGUAAAAAUAAAUUUGUAUUGGGAACUGGUGCAAUAUGUAAUGUUAAGAUAAUUAAGAUAAUUAGGUACUAUUACAAAUGUAUGUGUGAAUUGUACAUUUUUUGCAUAUCCCACUCCCCUGCAUAUCCCACUCUCCAUAUCCCACUCCUCAGCCGUGGAUAAUGAAAUUCACAGCUGCUGCACAACUUCCUCACCUGAAUGUAACCAAGGGCUAUGUAGAUAGGUAGGUUUAACCAAUUACAGCAGCCUUUUUUAAACUAUGGGUUGGAAAACCAAAGUGGAUCAUACUGUAGGUAUGUAAAAAGUGGCACAUUUGUUUCUGUCCGGGGUGGGGUGGCGAGCGGCGGGUAAUUGUGCUCAGGGGUUUUCCUCAUUCAGGCCGAGAUUCAAUCAAUGGUGUGUUAUAGAGCAUCGCUCUAAACAACUGCUGACAAUGCACAUUUAAAUGUGCCUUGGAUUGAAUCACAGCCCCAAUGGGCAAGUUCAGUUUGCAUUCCCCGGUGCCCUGGGUAGUUCGUGAUUUCACUUUAGGACCAAUGGAAUGGUCUAAAAUAAGCAACUUGAGGGGAAUAAGUAGACCUGUUAUAAAAAAUGUAAAUAAUAAUACAUAAAUCCUGUCUCUGUAAAUGGCCGUUUCCUCUCUCGCGUGAUCAUACCAGAGAUUAUGGAGGAACUGUGAGUUCAACGCGUGAAGCAUGCUCACGUGAGAGGGGGAAUGCCAACUUACACAGACCGGAACCUUUUCAUUUUUUUCAAUGAAAAACUGCCUUUAUGAGACGACAUCAUUAUACAGCAUCUUUGUAUGGGCAAUGCAAAACUAAUCUUGUUCUAAAGGAAGCUCCGUUUCAAGUGCUGAACUACUGUGAUUGGUUCAAUUAAAGCUUGGUGGGCAGAGCUUGGAGUGAAAAGUCAGUGGGUGGAGUGAGGUGAGAGUCAAAUAAAAAAAGGUCUUAAGUUGGAGGUGCAUAGAGGGCAUUACACGCUGGCCACAACCUGCAAGGUUGCCAGUUUGAAUCCUGUUUGCGACUUUUGUUUUCCAACCAUACCCAACAUUCUUAGCUAACGACAUGUUUCUAAUCUAACUUUUGACGUUUCUAACUUCCUGACUGAACAGAAUGAAAUAUGUGAAAAAAAUGAUCUGGUGCUCUCCCCCUGCUGACUCAUUGGACUAAGCACUAGGAUGGGGACCAGAAGGUACUAUGUUCAAAUCUUGCCGAUUCCCGUUCUGUAAUAAGGUCUAUUUACGUUACCUUUCCGUAGCAAGGAAUGCUCACCCUCAAAACCCAAACCAUCCUUCAACUCUUGUUCGUGACAAUGGAAGAUAUUCGCUAACAUCCAUGACUGGGGUUUCUAUGCAAUGGGUGAAUCUCAAUUGUAUUUCCCUGAUUUCUUACGGUCUCCCGCCCUGCCUCCUCCUCAAGACACACUGGAGGAGAAGAUCCAAGGGAGGAACCUCAUUCUGCUCCAAUGUGCUUUCAAAAAAAGAUGAAACGAAGAAUCAAGAAAAUACAACUGAGAUUCACUCAAUGUAUUCACUAUAACCCUUUUCCAGAACAGUGUUCUUCGAGUUAGGCUGGGAUUCAAUCCAACUGCUGGUUGUCCUCUGGAAAAUCUGGGGAACCAGGCCUGGUAUUCAUUGCUGACUUUGAAAAGGCCU